GAUGAACGCUGGCGGCGUGCCUAAUACAUGCAAGUCGAGCGAACGGACGAGAAGCUUGCUUCUCUGAUGUUAGCGGCGGACGGGUGAGUAACACGUGGAUAACCUACCUAUAAGACUGGGAUAACUUCGGGAAACCGGAGCUAAUACCGGAUAAUAUUCUGAACCGCAUGGUUCAAAAGUGAAAGACGGUCUUGCUGUCACUUAUAGAUGGAUCCGCGCUGCAUUAGCUAGUUGGUAAGGUAACGGCUUACCAAGGCAACGAUGCAUAGCCGACCGGAGAGGGUGAUCGGCCACACUGGAACUGAGACACGGUCCAGACUCCUACGGGAGGCAGCAGUAGGGAAUCUUCCGCAAUGGGCGAAAGCCUGACGGAGCAACGCCGCGUGAGUGAUGAAGGUCUUCGGAUCGUAAAACUCUGUUAUUAGGGAAGAACAUAUGUGUAAGUAACUGUGCACAUCUUGACGGUACCUAAUCAGAAAGCCACGGCUAACUACGUG
rnacentral:rRNA from 1 species